rnacentral:rRNA from 1 species
AGUGAACGCUGGCGGUAGGCCUAACACAUGCAAGUCGAACGGCAGCACAGUAAGAUCUUGCUCUUACGGGUGGCGAGUGGCGGACGGGUGAGGAAUACAUCGGAAUCUACUUUUUCGUGGGGGAUAACGUAGGGAAACUUACGCUAAUACCUCAUACGACCUACGGGUGAAAGCAGUGGAUCUUCGGACCUUGCGCGAUUGAAUGAGCCGAUGUCGGAUUAGCUAGUUGGCGGGGUAAAGGCCCACCAAGGCGACGAUGCGUAGCUGGUCUGAGAGGAUGAUCAGCCACACUGGAACUGAGACACGGUCCAGACUCCUACGGGAGGCAGCAGUGGGGAAUAUUGGACAAUGGGCGCAAGCCUGAUCCAGCCAUACCGCGUGGGUGAAGAAGGCCUUCGGGUUGUAAAGCCCUUUUGUUGGGAAAGAAAAGCAGCAGGUUAAUACCCGGCUGUUCUGGCGGUACCCAAAGAAUAAGCACCGGCUAACUUCGUG